rnacentral:snRNA from 1 species
UAUCUCUGACUCCAUCUGUGCAUUUAACUGCACUGCAUUUAACCGAGAAAAUCGUUUGCCUUUUACUAACGAUUUCAGUGCAUUGGAGCAGUUAUGAGUAUUUGUCAAUUUUUGAAAGCCCCUUGAAAGAGCGU